AGUUCUCGGGGCGGGGUGAAAUUCCCCACCGGUGGUUAAAGUCCACGACCUCUUAAUGAGCUGAUGCGGUGAAAUUCCGCAACCGACGGUACAGUCCGGAUGGCAGAGAAU
rnacentral:ncRNA from 1 species